GACGAACGCUGGCGGCGUGCUUAACACAUGCAAGUCGAACGGAAAGGCCCUGCUUUUGUGGGGUGCGCGAGUGGCGAACGGGUGAGUAACACGUGAGUAACCUGCCCUUGACUUUGGGAUAACUUCAGGAAACUGGGGCUAAUACCGGAUAGGAGCUCCUGCUGCAUGGUGGGGGUUGGAAAGUUUCGGCGGUUGGGGAUGGACUCGCGGCUUAUCAGCUUGUUGGUGGGGUAGUGGCUUACCAAGGCUUUGACGGGUAGCCGGCCUGAGAGGGUGACCGGCCACAUUGGGACUGAGAUACGGCCCAGACUCCUACGGGAGGCAGCAGUGGAGAAUAUUGCACAAUGGGCGGAAGCCUGAUGCAGCAACGCCGCGUGCGGGAUGACGGCCUUCGGGUUGUAAACCGCUUUCGCCUGUGACGAAGCGUGAGUGACGGUAAUGGGUAAAGAAGCACCGGCUAACUACGUG
rnacentral:rRNA from 1 species